rnacentral:rRNA from 1 species
AUUGAACGCUGGCGGAAUGCUUUACACAUGCAAGCCGAACGGCAGCACGGACUUCGGUCUGGUGGCGAGUGGCGAACGGGUGAGUAAUGUAUCGGAACGUGCCCAGUCGUGGGGGAUAACGUAGUGAAAAUUACGCUAAUACCGCAUACGAUCUAUGGAUGAAAGCGGGGGAUCGCAAGACCUCGCGCGAUUGGAGCGGCCGAUAUCAGAUUAGGUAGUUGGUGGGGUAAAGGCCCACCAAGCCAACGAUCUGUAGCUGGUCUGAGAGGACGACCAGCCACAAUGGAACUGAGACACGGUCCAGACUCCUACGGGAGGCAGCAGUGGGGAAUUUUGGACAAUGGGCGAAAGCCUGAUCCAGCCAUUCCGCGUGCAGGAUGAAGGCCCUCGGGUUGUAAACUGCUUUUGUACAGAACGAAAAGGUUUCUACUAAUACUAGGAGCUCAUGACGGUACUGUAAGAAUAAGCACCGGCUAACUACGUGCCAGCCGCCGCAGUAA